rnacentral:rRNA from 1 species
UCCUACGGGAGGCAGCAGUGGGGAAUUUUGGACAAUGGGCGAAAGCCUGAUCCAGCAAUGCCGCGUGUGUGAAGAAGGCCUUCGGGUUGUAAAGCACUUUUGUCCGGAAAGAAAUCCUUGGCUCUAAUACAGUCGGGGGAUGACGGUACCGGAAGAAUAAGCACCGGCUAACUACGUGCCAGCAGCCGCGGUAAUACGUAGGGUGCGAGCGUUAAUCGGAAUUACUGGGCGUAAAGCGUGCGCAGGCGGUUUGCUAAGACCGAUGUGAAAUCCCCGGGCUCAACCUGGGAACUGCAUUGGUGACUGGCAGGCUAGAGUAUGGCAGAGGGGGGUAGAAUUCCACGUGUAGCAGUGAAAUGCGUAGAGAUGUGGAGGAAUACCGAUGGCGAAGGCAGCCCCCUGGGCCAAUACUGACGCUCAUGCACGAAAGCGUGGGGAGCAAACAGGAUUAGAUACCCUGGUAGUCCACGCCCUAAACGAUGUCAACUAGUUGUUGGGGAUUCAUUUCCUUAGUAACGUAGCUAACGCGUGAAGUUGACCGCCUGGGGAGUCCUGU